GCAUUGGUGGUUCAUUGGUAGAAUUCUCACCUUUCAUGUGGGAGACCUGGGUUCAGUUCCCAGCCAAUGCA
rnacentral:tRNA from 1 species